rnacentral:lncRNA from 1 species
CUCCCUUCAACUAAUAAGAACUCUCUUUUUGACUAACUCUUUCACUCUAUAUUUUUCUAGUGUAUUCUAUCUCUUCCAAACCAAAUGAAGACCACCACUAUUUAUACUAGAAGAAGUCUUCCUAGCAAUGAAUAGGAAGAUAAUGGUGUAGUAAAUAGUGAAGAUAAUGGUUUUAGGAGUUACAUAUGUUACAAGGAUAAUGGGAGAGUAAAGAAUGAAAAUAAAGAGAGUGUAACAAAUGCAUCCAACGGCAAAUGAACAUGCUGCCCAAUUCCAACGUUCACUGGAACGUUUCUGC